GAUGAAGAACGCAGCGAAAUGCGAUAAGUAGUGUGAAUUGCAGAAUUCAGUGAAUCAUCGAAUCUUUGAACGCACAUUGCGCCCCUUGGUAUCCCGAGGGGCAUGCCUGUUCGAGCGUCAUUUCACCACUCAAGCCUGGCUUGGUGUUGGGCGACGUCCUCUUUGGGGACGCGCCUCGAAACGCUCGGCGGCGUGGCACCGGCUUUAAGCGUAGCAGAAUCUUUCGCUUUGGAAAUCGGGGCCCCGUCUGCCGGAAGACCUGCUCGCAAGGUUGACCUCGGAUCAGGCAGGGAUACCCGCUGAACUUAAGCAUAUCAAUAAGCGGAGGA
rnacentral:misc_RNA from 1 species